UUUCUCUGCAUCCUCACCAACAUCUCUUGUUGCCUGAGUUGUUCAUCCUAGCCAUUCUGACAGGUGUGAGGUAGUAUGAGAUGAACGUAUUUAAACAUAUAAAAUACAGGAAGUGGGCACUUAUAAAAUUGUCAGAAGGGUCACAAGAGCUGACUUUGCAAGGUAGGUCUCCAGAAGUGCCUCCCCAAAUGUGGCAAAUCUGAACCUUCAAAACAUGUGCUCCCUCGGCCACGGUCCAGAGGUGGAGCUGCAGGGGGCUGCCUCUGGGACCACUAACUUCAAGCACAUGCUGCUGUACCUGCAAUCCAGGGUCAGAAGGUAAGAUGACGCAGGGCGCCUGGGUGGCUCAGUCGGUUAAGCAACCAACUUCAGCUCAGGUCGUGAUCUCAGGGUUUGUGGGUUCAAGCCCCACGUCGGGCUCUGUGCUGACAGCUCAGAACCUGGAGCCUGCUUCAGAUUCUGUGUCUCCCUCUCUCUCUGCCCCUCCCCCACUUGCACUCUGUGUCUCUCUCUCUUGAAAGUAAAUAAAACGUUAAAAAAAAAAAAGAAAGUAAGAUGAUGAAACCACCACUCACUGUUGCCACAAACGCUUGGAACGCGGAGUUCAGACCCCAGCCGUGCUGUCUCUGCCACCACCUUUUGGUAGCCACAGCAGGAGGAGAUGCUGCCUCUGUCAUCCAAAUGUCACACAAGGGCAUCUAAAGGGUGGAAUCUUAUUUCUGUUCAGAGUGCUUUGUGCACAGAGCAGGAAAAUUACUUUUCCAGCCUAUUCAUGAGAGGAAGUCCAACCAGGACGAUGUGGCAAUGAACUCUGAGUGCCAGCCAAUUAAAAUUAGCCACAGGAACUGUACUUUUACAGGGUUUUCUAGAAUUUGUAUUUAGCUCUUUCUCAACAUCCUCUGGUUGGUUUGGUUCGUUUUCCUUUCAGCAGUGUGACUUGUUUCUUCCUUGAUCUCUUCAUGUAUUUUAAUCCAUGUUCAUUUUAUGUUCUCUCAGUUUAUGCAGUUAUCUUGUUCUUGUCCGUGGUUUCGGCUCGUGCCCUGCUCCUUUGCCGGGGGAGGCAAGCUUCGUCCUGCAUGCUGCUCUGAUGAGGUUGUGUCUGGUCCUUGGAGCCCCACCUAGGGCUCCCCAGUUGGAGCCCCAUUAGCAUGUUGGGCAUGCAUGGUCAUCUGGAUGCAUCCUUCCUGCUGAAGCAGGAACUUGGAAUUUUGGAGAGCAGCAGUGGGCGGGCCGUCCCAUCCCUGUUUCCUCACUAGGGCUGGAGAUGUUUCCACUAGGGUUGGGGAUGGCUGAGAUAUGACCCCAAUCUCCCCAUCGACCUCAAUGUAGUAGUUUUCUAUUUCUGUUUGAUCAACCGUCACAAGCUCAGAGGCUUAGAACAACAAUCCUUUACAAUCUCCCAAUUCCAUGGGAGUGAGCAUAACUCAGCUGGAUCCUUUGCUCAACGUUUCACAAGGCUACAGUCAACGUGUUGGCCACACUGAAGUUCUUAUCUGGAGCUGAGGGUUCUCUCUCAAGGCUACUGGUUGUUGGCAGAAUUCACUUCCUUACAAUUGUGGGUACCCAUGUUCUUGCUGGCUGCUCACCAGAGUCACUCACAGCUCCCGGGGGCCACACCUCUCCAUCAGUGGUUCAGAACACUGAUUUUCUUCCUUGAGGUCAGCAGGAGCGUGUCUCUUUCUGACUUCUGCUUUUAAAGGGCUUGUUUAAGUCAGCCUCAUUUAAGCUAAUCUUCCUUUUGGUAACUCAAACUCAGCUGAUUAGUAGCUUAAUUAUAAUCAUACAGGGCAUACAACAUGGGAGGAACAGGAUUUGGUGGGGAGGGACGUCCUAGAAGUCUGUCCAAAAUUUUCAUGAACACCAGAAGGCUGGCACCAGACAAGGGAGGAAGAGAAUUGCAACCUGUCCUUCUGGGAGGCAAGGCUGAACGCUCAUGUUUUUUCUUCCCUCCCUGGUUUUGCCCUUUCAGGACUCACCCUUCCCCAAGAGAGGAGGCUGGAUGACUCAUUGGCCCUUGCUGUUCUGAAAGCCGUGGCCCAGUAUCUUUUGAUGGCUGUAUCUCCCUUUACGAAGGAAGUUGUGCUGCUCUCCAUAGAAAUAUCAAGAACAUACGGACCCUUCUCUUGAAUUGCCAAAAUCGUCUUACGUGCUCAUCUGCCUCAGCUUAUUCUCUGGUUUGUUGUUUCAGGGCUCAGUGAUGUUUAGGGAUGUGGCAGUAGUCUUCUCAGGAUGAGUGGGGCCACCCAGAUCCUGCUAGGAAGGAUUUGUACAGGGACGUGACACUGGAGAACUUCAGCAACUUCAUCUCUAGGUUCUUCUAUUUCCAGACCAGAUGUGAUCUCCUUAUCGGAACAAGGGAAAGAACCCUUGGGGGCACAAAGAGAUGUGACAGGAAGCCUGUGCCCAGCUGAGUGAAGGAUCAUUAAGAAGGGCAGUGGCGCUGUAGAUCAUGUAUCCUCAUGGGAGAAAAUGGAAAAAUUUAUAAACAAAGAUCCUGAGGACCCCAUGUUCCAGGAUGACUGGGAAUAUAAAGGCAUAUUUGAGAGACAUCAAAGAAAUGAGGAAGGAAAUUCCAGCCAAGUGAUCAUCACCCAGGAAGAGUAUCUACUGUGAGACAGCAAACUUCCCAUAACCUGCAUCAGAAAGUUCCACCUGGAAGUAGGCCCUAUGCGUAAUGAAUGUAGAGAAGGGUUUCGGCAGAAGACAUCCCUUCUAAGUCACCAGAAAAUGUAUACUUCUGACCGAUCUGAGGAAUGCAAGCAACAUGGGAAGGCUUUCUCCAUCACCGUUCUGAUCCCCCUCAACAUCAUAGAACUCACACUGGGAAAGACCCCGUGAAUGUAAAGAAUGUGGAAGGGCCUUUAGUCCUAUUUCCCUCUUUACCCAACACCAGAGAAUUCCUACUGGUGAGAAAACCUAUGAAUGUAAGGAGUAUCAAAAAAGCUAUAUUCAGCUCUCAAAACUUAAUGCACGUCAUAGAAUACAUACUAGGGGAAAAUUCUAUCAAUAUACUGAAUGUGCAAAAACUUGUCACUAAUUAUUCAACAUCAGAGAAUUCAUACUGGAGAAAACCCUACGACUGUAAGGAAUGUGGAAGGCCUUUAGAGGUAUCACACAACUUCAUGAACAUCAAAGAAUAUAUACCAGGGAGAAGCCAUAAAAAUGUAAUGAAUGUGGAAAGGCCUUCGGUCAUCAGUCAUAUCUUCCUCAAUAUCAGAGGAUCCAUACUGGUGAGGCACCUUAUAAACGUAAGGUUUGUGGGAAGGCCUUUAGGCAGGGCUCAAAGCUUUAUCAUCACCAGAAAAUUUAUACUAAGAAAUCAUAUAAAUGUAAUGGAAGCUUUUGGUCGAAUUUCAUAAUUUAAUGAGCAUUAGCACCCUUACUGGUGAGAACCUUUCUCACUGUACUGAAUGUGGAAAAGCUUUUAGUCACUUAACACUAGUUAUUCGACAUUAGAAAAUUCAUACUGGUGAAAAUCACUAUGAAUGUCAGGGAUGUGGGAAAACCUUUAGUCAGGGUUCACAACUUACUCAAUUAUUUGUUAUGUAUGUAGUAAUGUGGGAAGGCCUUCAAAACACAGUCAUCUUUCUUAGUCUUAAGGAAUUCAUGCCAUAGAAACUUCCUAUAAAUAAGUGAAGGAAACAUUUCACUGGUCUUGUCCCUGAAAGAACAUCAAAUAAUUUAUUAUUACGUAUAACCUUGUCCAAUAUGGAAAUGCUUUAUCUUUCAGCUCAUGUUGCAUUUAUCAGCAGAUUCACAUCAUUACGUCAUCACUAAAGACCAUAUUAAUAUGGUAACGUAGAAGAGCUCCCCCUACUACCGAUCAAUUAUUAAUUAUUGUACAAUUCAUGAUGGCAAACAACCAUGCAAGUGGAGAAUUUUGAAAACCCAUUACCGUAAGCUAAUCCUAAUUUACAGAAAAGGAUGCAUAAGAGAAAGUAACGCUUUAUAUGUCACAUAUAUGGGAAUUUCUUUAGCCAUAAGGCUCUUUUAAUGAGAAGAUUCAUACUGAUGAAUAUAAGUUUUAAAACCCCCAUUCAGAACUUGCCAUUUAUUAUGCAUCAGAAAAUGCAAAGUUGAGGGGCGCCUGGGUGGCUCAGUUCGUUA